AUUGAACGCUGGCGGCAGGCCUAACACAUGCAAGUCGAGCGAGUGGCGGACGGGUGAGUAAUGUAUGGGGACUGCCCGAUAGAGGGGGAUAACUACUGGAAACGGUGGCUAAUACCGCAUACUAUCGGAUAACCCAUAUGGGAUUAGCUAGUGGGUGGGGUAAAGGCUUACCUAGGCGAUGAUCUCUAGCUGGUCUGAGAGGAUGAUCAGCAACACUGGGACGGAGAAACGGCCCGGACUCCUACGGAGGCAGCAGUGGGGAAUAUUGCGCAAUGGGGGCAAGCCUGAUGCAGCCAUGCCGCGUGUAUGAAGAAGGCCUUAGGGUUGUAAAGUACUUUCAGCGGGGAGGCGUUACCCGCAGAAGAAGCACCGGCUAACUCCGUGCCAGCAGCCGCGGUAAUUC
rnacentral:rRNA from 1 species